UACGAAGGGGGCUAGCGUUGCUCGGAAUUACUGGGCGUAAAGCGCACGUAGGCGGCUUCUUAAGUCGGUGGUGAAAUCCUGGAGCUCAACUCCAGAACUGCCUUCGAUACUGGGAAGCUCGAGUCCGGGAGAGGUGAGUGGAACUGCGAGUGUAGAGGUGAAAUUCGUAGAUAUUCGCAAGAACACCAGUGGCGAAGGCGGCUCACUGGCCCGGUACUGACGCUGCGGUGCGAAAGCGUGGGGAGCAAACAGG
rnacentral:rRNA from 1 species